ACGAACGCUGGCGGCGUGCUUCAUACAUGCAAGUCGAACGAGAAGCUGACUUCGGUCAGUGGAAAGUGGCGGACGGGUGAGUAAUAUGUAGGAAAUCUGCCUUUAGGAGGGGGACAACAGAGGGAAACUUCUGCUAAUACCCCAUAUGAGCGUAGCUGAAAUGCUAUUCUUGAAAACUCCGGUGCCUAAAGAUGAGCCUGCAUCUGAUUAGCUAGUUGGUAGUGUAAUGGACUACCAAGGCGACGAUCAGUAGCUGGUUUGAGAGGAUGAUCAGCCACAAUGGGACUGAGGCACGGCCCAUACUCCUACGGGAGGCAGCCGUAGGGAAGUUUGCGCAAUGGGCGAAAGCCUGACGCAGCAACGCCGCGUGAACGAUUAAGCCCUUCGGGGUGUAAAGUUCUGUCAGUGGGGACGAAACUUGACGGUACCCACAGAGGAAGCACCGGCUAACUCCGUG
rnacentral:rRNA from 1 species